UAACAGACUUAUAAAGACAUU
rnacentral:piRNA from 1 species